GAUGAACGCUGGCGGCGUGCCUAAUACAUGCAAGUCGAGCGAACAGAUGAGAAGCUUGCUUCUCUGAUGUUAGCGGCGGACGGGUGAGUAACACGUGGGUAACCUACCUAUAAGACUGGGAUAACUCCGGGAAACCGGGGCUAAUACCGGAUAAUAUUUUGAACCGCAUGGUUCAAUAGUGAAAGACGGUUUCGGCUGUCACUUAUAGAUGGACCCGCGCCGUAUUAGCUAGUUGGUAAGGUAACGGCUUACCGAGGCGACGAUACGUAGCCGACCUGAGAGGGUGAUCGGCCACACUGGAACUGGGACACGGUCCAGACUCCUACGGGAGGCAGCAGUAGGGAAUCUUCCGCAAUGGGCGAAAGCCUGACGGAGCAACGCCGCGUGAGUGAUGAAGGUCUUCGGAUCGUAAAACUCUAUUGUUAGGGAAGAACAAAUUUGUUAGUAACUGAACAAGUCUUGACGGUACCUAACCAGAAAGCCACGGCUAACUACGUGCCAGCAGCCGCCGUAA
rnacentral:rRNA from 1 species